rnacentral:misc_RNA from 1 species
GAUGAAGAACGUAGCGAAAUGCGAUACUUGGUGUGAAAUGCAGAAUCCCGUGAACCAUCGAGUCUUUGAACGCAAGUUGCGCCCGAAGCCAUCAGGUUGAGGGCACGUCUGCCUGGGCGUCACAUAUCGUUGCCCAAUGCCUAUUGCAGUGCAAUAGGAAUUUCUAGGGCGAAUGAUGGCUUCCCGUGAGCGUUGUUGCCUCGCGGUUGGUUGAAAAUCGAGUCCUUGGUAGGGUGUGCCAUGGUAGAUGGUGGUCGAGUUAGAACGAUACCGAUCAUGUGCAUGCUCCCCAAAAUAUGGCCUCUAUGACCCACACGCGUCUUUUGACGCUCAUGACGAGACCUCAGGUCAGGCGGGGCUACCCGCUGAAUUUAAGCAUAUCAAUAAGCGGAGGA